rnacentral:rRNA from 1 species
AGCGAACGCUGGCGGCAGGCCUAACACAUGCAAGUCGAACGAAGCCUUCGGGCUUAGUGGCGGACGGGUGAGUAACACGGGGGAACGUACCUUUUGGUUCGGAAUAACGCAGAGAAAUUUGCGCUAAUACCGAAUGAGCCCUUAGGGGGAAAGAUUUAUCGCCGAAAGAUCGGCCCGCGUUGGAUUAGGUAGUGGGGGUGGUAAAGGGGUACCAAGCCUACGAUCCAUAGCGGGUCUGAGAGGAUGAGCAGCCACACUGGGACUGAGACACGGCCCAGACUCCUACGGGAGGCAGCAGUGGGGAAUCUUGCGCAAGGGGCGAAAGCCUGACGCAGCCAUGCCGCGUGAAUGAUGAAGGUCUUAGGAUUGUAAAAUUCUUUUACCAGGGACGAUAAUGACGGUACCUGGAGAAAAAGCCCCGGCUAACUUCGUGCCAGCCGCCGCAGUAA